rnacentral:rRNA from 1 species
UACGUAGGGUGCGAGCGUUAAUCGGAAUUACUGGGCGUAAAGCGUGCGCAGGCGGUUUUGCAAGCCGGAUGUGAAAUCCCCGGGCUCAACCUGGGAAUGGCAUUCGGGACUGCAAGGCUGGAGUGCGGCAGAGGAGACUGGAAUUCCUGGUGUAGCAGUGAAAUGCGUAGAUAUCAGGAGGAAUACCGAUGGCGAAGGCAGGUCUCUGGGCUGACACUGACGCUCAUGCACGAAAGCGUGGGGAGCGAAACAAGGAUUGAU